rnacentral:rRNA from 1 species
CUUAGAGUUUGAUCCUGGCUCAGGAUGAACGCUGGCGGCGUGCUUAACACAUGCAAGUCGAACGGGCCAUAUUCGUAUGGUCAGUGGCAGACGGGUGCGUAACACGUGGGUGACCUGCCCUUGAGUGGGGAACAACUCCGCUAACGCGGAGCUAAUACCGCAUACGUUCGCUUCUUCGGUGGGGCGAGUAAAGCAGCAAUGCGCUUAGGGAUGGGCCUGCGGCGGAUUAGGUAGUUGGUGGGGUAAGGGCCUACCAAGCCGAUGAUCCGUAGGGGGCGUGAGAGCGUGGCCCCCCACAUUGGCACUGAGACACGGGCCAAACUCCUACGGGAGGCAGCAGUGAGGAAUAUUGCGCAAUGGGCGAAAGCCUGACGCAGCAACGCCGCGUGGGGGACGAAGGCCUUCGGGUCGUAAACCUCUUUUCUGGGGGAAGAGCAAGGACGGUACCUCAGGAAUAAGUCUCGGCUAACUACGUGCCAGCAGCCGCGGUAAAACGUAGGAGGCGAGCGUUAUCCGGAUUUACUGGGCGUAAAGCGCACGCAGGUGGCUUCGUAAGUCGGACAUGAAAGCUCCUGGCUUAACUGGGAGAGGUUGUUCGAUACUGCGGGGCUUGAGGUUGGGAGAGGGACGUGGAAUUCUCGGUGUAGUGGUGGAAUGCGUAGAUAUCGGGAGGAACACCAGUGGCGCAAGCGGCGUCCUGGCUCACACCUGACGCUGAGGUGCGAAAGCGUGGGGAGCAAACAGGAUUAGAUACUCCUGAUAGUCCACGCUGUAAACGAUGUCAACUGGGUGUCGGUAGUUUUACACUAGCGGUGCCGAAGCUAACGCGUUAAGUUGACCGUCUGGGGACUACGGCCGCAAGGCUAAACUCAAAGGAAUG